GGGGAUCUUCCCGACCCAGGAAUCAAACCCUUGUCUCCUGCAUUGGCAGAGUUGGGUACCUGGAAGGAAGAUACGGGUGACAGGACCUAAGGAAGCUCAACUGCAGCACUGAGGUAGCAAUGGGAUGGUGAGGACUCGGUUAUUGCAGGACACCUGAUGUGGAGAUCUCCCAGCACGGGUCUGGGUCUGGACUGUGCGCUCCUCAGGGUUACCGCCCUACAGUUAACUGACUUUCCCCCACCACCGCCCUGCG